rnacentral:misc_RNA from 1 species
UUGGAGGACCUUUCGGCUUUGACUUCUUCAACAAGAAGAACAAGCAAAAUAAGAAAUCUUCAAAGCACGAGUCUUCUUCUAAGAAAGGAGGAGAAUCAGUACAUGAGGCAAUGAGCAAUGAGUGGCUUGAAACAGGGCAGUGCCCCAUCGCAAAGUCCUUCAGAGCUGUAAAGCUGGUCCUUCCACUUGUUGCAAAAGCUCUACAGCCGCCUCCCGGUGUGAAAUUCAGGUGCCCUCCUGCUAUCGUCGCUGCACGGGCAGCCUUGGCCCGAACAGCCGUGGUAAAGAACCUGCGCCCCCAGCCGUUACCUGAAAAGAUGCUAGCCAUUACAUUGCUCGGUAUAGCAGCCAACAUUCCCCUUGGAGUCUGGAGGGAGCACAUGAAGAAGUUCUCGCCUCAAUGGUUCGCAGCCGUCCAUGCGAGCGUGCCCUUCAUCGGGAUGCUUCGGAAGGCCGUCCUCAUGCCAAAGACAGCGAUGGCGUUCACCAUUGCAGCAUCGAUACUAGGUCAGACCAUCGGGUCUAGGGCUGAGCGGAUCCGUCUGAAGGCAGUCGCUGCCAGAGCCUCAGGUCGUCACGAGGUCAUUGAAUCUCCCAUGAGGGGCGGGCAGUGCGGUGAGGAGCGAGUUUGGGAUCCACUUCUUCUCAAGGGGAAUAUGACAGUGGUGUCGACUUCUGCAAAAGCCAAUGCAUGCUACUGAGAUGAUGCAUUUGGGUUUGUAAUUUCAUUGUAUUUUCUUGAAAACCUAGGUGUGUUGUGUGUGUUUCCGGCUCAUAACUUUGGAACAUUACCCUGGUUUGCCGUGAAUAAGGCGGAAAUAUUGAAG